rnacentral:rRNA from 1 species
AGUGAACGCUGGCGGUAGGCCUAACACAUGCAAGUCGAACGGCAGCACAGUAAGAGCUUGCUCUUACGGGUGGCGAGUGGCGGACGGGUGAGGAAUACAUCGGAAUCUACUUUUUCGUGGGGGAUAACGUAGGGAAACUUACGCUAAUACCGCAUACGACCUACGGGUGAAAGCAGGGGAUCUUCGGACCUUGCGCGAUUGAAUGAGCCGAUGUCGGAUUAGCUAGUUGGCGGGGUAAAGGCCCACCAAGGUGACGAUCCGUAGCUGGUCUGAGAGGAUGAUCAGCCACACUGGAACUGAGACACGGUCCAGACUCCUACGGGAGGCAGCAGUGGGGAAUAUUGGACAAUGGGCGCAAGCCUGAUCCAGCCAUACCGCGUGGGUGAAGAAGGCCUUCGGGUUGUAAAGCCCUUUUGUUGGGAAAGAAAAGCAGCAGGUUAAUAACCCGCUGUUCUGACGGUACCCAAAGAAUAAGCACCGGCUAACUUCGUG